rnacentral:rRNA from 1 species
AUUGAACGCUGGCGGCAGGCUUAACACAUGCAAGUCGAGCGGGGUGAUGGUGCUUGCACUAUCACUUAGCGGCGGACGGGUGAGUAAUGCUUAGGAAUCUGCCUAUUAGUGGGGGACAACAUCUCGAAAGGGAUGCUAAUACCGCAUACGUCCUACGGGAGAAAGCAGGGGAUCACUUGUGACCUUGCGCUAAUAGAUGAGCCUAAGUCGGAUUAGCUAGUUGGUGGGGUAAAGGCCUACCAAGGCGACGAUCUGUAGCGGGUCUGAGAGGAUGAUCCGCCACACUGGGACUGAGACACGGCCCAGACGCCUACGGGAGGGAGCAGUGGGGAAUAUUGGACAAUGGGGGGAACCCUGAUCCAGCCAUGCCGCGUGUGUGAAGAAGGCCUUAUGGUUGUAAAGCACUUUAAGCGAGGAGGAGGCUCUUUUGGUUAAUACCCAAGAUGAGUGGACGUUACUCGCAGAAUAAGCACCGGCUAACUCUGUGCCAGCAGCCGCCGUAA